CCAAGUUUCCUAUACAACAUUGUCUGACUAUGCUUUACUAGUGCAUCCAAAGGGUUCAUUACUUCUUUGGGGGGCUGUAUCUGAUUUACGGAUCGCUCCCCCUUACAUAUGCCUAGUUGAGAUGUUAGCAGUCGAUGCCAAUGAGAUCCAUGCCCGGGGACUAUGCCUCACUGCAUGUGAUCGCCUGUGAUACAGAAAUGGACUUGAACGGCUCGGACUGUAACACACCAUUAUGGUCUGAGCUUGACUUGUUCAUCCGCCGACUCUGACUGGAGUGGCCAUGUAGUAGCGUGCAGGUGGUAACGUUCUGCACGUGGCUUAUUGGUUGCACCCCCCCUUGAAUUGCAUAUGUUCAGUCAGAGACCCGGUACGUUACAAAACCGCUCCCUUCGGGUGAGUCCUCGUGUACUUCCAAAAUUUAAAACAACCUUUGGCUAAGCUCGUUGUGGCGUCGGUAGCAGUAAUGCUACUGACAAUGCAUUCGAUUUAGCCUGGUGCGCGUUGCCUUCGGGUGACAAACGCCAACCUUA
rnacentral:misc_RNA from 1 species